rnacentral:sRNA from 1 species
UUUACUGUAGAAACCCCGCAAGGUAAUAUCUUUUGUGAGUAAUGGUCCUACUUGGUGAAUUGGAGGAACUGAAGAAGCGUGGAUGUUGGUCUCUUGGCAGUCUUUAUUAAUUGGAGCAGGGACGAUUCCAAAAAACGUCAAUUAAAAUCACAAAUGUACAGCGAUCUCCGCCAGAUGUCGCUUUUCAUUAUGUGUGCUAUCUUAUCACUGGAGUCAUUACCAUAGUCCACUUGAGGAACGAUCCCUCAACCCUCACCCCAAAGCCUUCAACAACAGAUACAGCAGCCUCCAGGUUUCUUGUAGAUUCCCCGCCAUACAUGACUCGCGAUAAAUUACAACAAAAACCGAUUGGCAUGUGCAGGGCUUCAUUUCUGUUCGAUCUCACGAAGAAAGGUACGCCAUGACUUGGUUGCAUAGAGUCAUAAUAUUCGGAUUUUUUAGGAUAUUAAAGUUUUUACCGUUGAUAGACAGUUCAUCGGCAGAUAGCUGAAAAACAAUUUUCAUUACCGUAAUGCAUAUACUCCUAUGUCGGUUAAUUUUCGUUUUGUGAACUUGAGAACGAUUCACAACGGAAACAGACGGGCGACGGUUUUCUCCCCGUUGUUUUGCAUUCUGAACAAAAUGUUUCUUGAGUUUUUGUGCGAUAAAAUUUACCCCAUUCUAUCGAUUUAUGAAAAACACCUAUUAUGACAGUUCACAUAUUGAUGCAAUAAACUUUUUUGAGC